CUACGGGGUGCAGCAGUGGGGAAUAUUGGACAAUGGACCAAAAGUCUGAUCCAGCAAUUCUGUGUGUUUGAUGAAGGCCUUCGGGUUGUAAAGAACUUUAAGUAGGGAAGAAGAAAGUGACGGUACCUACAGAAUAAGCGACGGCUAAAUACGUGCCAGCAGCCGCGGUAAAUACGUAUGUCGCAAGCGUUAUCCGGAAUUAUUGGGCAUAAAGCGCGUCUAGGCGGUUUAUUAAGUCUGAUGUGAAAAUGCGGGGCUCAACCCCGUAUUGCGUUGGAAACUGGUAGACUAGAGUAUUGGAGAGGUAGGCGGAACUACAAGUGUAGAGGUGAAAUUCGUAGAUAUUUGUAGGAAUGCCAAUGACGAAGGUAGCUUACUGGACAAAUACUGACGCUGAAGCGCGAAAGCUAGGGGAGCAAACAGGAUUAGAUACCCGUGUAGUC
rnacentral:rRNA from 1 species